GGGGGGGGGGGAUUCUCUCUUUUGUAGUUCUGCCUAUGAAUUUCAUGUAAGGUAAAUAGUCGGGCCAAUCAUUAUUGGCUUUAUAUGAUUAUGCACGAUUCUUCAUUUAAAUUGUUCGGUGAUUUUUAAUUCAUAGGAAAUUAGAGAAAAGGGCAGACACGUGCAACCUGUCCCCAAAAGUAGGAUUGUGUUUUCGAUAAGAUUGUUUUAGAAAAAAAUGUGUAUUAGAUACAACAGGAAAAAGGGGGUACCCCAACCCUGGUGUCUUAUUGAUUCCCAGUCAAGGCAUAUCAGUAUGUUC
rnacentral:lncRNA from 1 species